rnacentral:lncRNA from 1 species
AGAGUGUUUGAUAAAUUUUUCAUUCAUAUUGAUCUCAAAUAUAUUUAUAUAAUUAAACUUUUCGGAGACAUUAAGGGCAUGUUUGUUUACAUGGAAGUGAGGUGGAAGUGAGAGGGAGAAGGUGAUUUCCGGUAAAAAUUAAUCGCUUCCGUUGUUUGGUUUGUUGUAAAAAAGGUUACAGUCGAAACUCCAGUUAACCUAAAAUGACGUAAUUAACUUUGGCUAAAGGGUAUAUUUAUUUCACAUAAACUGGACUUUGGGUUAAAAUGGACAUUGGACUGAAGUAGAGUUUGGUAAAAAUUAUUUCUUUCCCGCUGUUUGUUUGUAGUUAUGAAAGUGAAAUUUUAUUCAUUCUACUCUUUGUUUGGUAGGAAGUGUGUGAUAUAAAAUUAUAAUUUAUAUAUAAAUAAUAAAUAUUUUAAUAAGUAAAAAUAAUAUAAUUAUAUUUUUAUAUAAUUAAAAUUUAAUUUAAAACAACUAAAUUAUUUUUAUACAUAAAUUAUGAUAAUAUAAUAAUAAAAUUAUAAAAGUAAAAAAUACUAAUACUUAAUUAAUCAAUUUAUAUCAUAUUUUAAUUGUACAAACUAAAUAAAAAAAAAUAAAACUUAACUAAUCAAUUUUUAUCAUAUUUUAAAUAUACCAACCAAAUAAAAGAGUAAUUAGUAAUAUAAUUAAAUAUAUUAAAUAUAACUAUCUUAUCCUAUUAUAUUAUUUUAUUAUUUUUUCUUCACCUUUCUUCACUAGAAUUUUUUUCGAUUGAUCAUGCGCCGAAGUCAAUUAUAUUGUUUGAGAUUAACUCGAGUUUCGACCGUAAUUUUUUUGCAGCGAACCAAACAACGGAAGUGGCAGUUUAUGAUGAAAAUGACUUUCUCUUCUCCACUUUCACUUUACUUCCACCCAAACAAACAUGCCCAAUUAUAGGCCGAAACUAAUUACGGUAAAGAAAGAUGAAGAAAAAAUAAUAAAAUAAUAUACUAAAUAAAGAUAGUUAUAUUUAAUUAUAGGACUAUUUUUUUUAAAAAAAUUUAUUUGGCAUAUUUACAAUAUAAUAAGAAUUUACAUAAAGAUAAAAAAACUUUAUUGAUUUAUUAUUAAUAUUCUUCAACUUUCAUUCUUUUCAUUUUCUUGCAAUAUUCUUCAACUUUCAUUCUUUUCAUUUUCUUGCUUAUAUUAUAUUCAAAAUGAUUUUCU